rnacentral:misc_RNA from 1 species
UUUGAAUUCUGGCUCAGAUUGAACGCUGGCGGGAUGCUUACACAUGCAAGUCGAACGGCAGCACGGACUUCGGUCUGGUGGCGAGUGGCGAACGGGUGGUAUCGGAACGUGCCUAGUAGCGGGGAUAACUACGCGAAAGCGUAGCUAAUACCGCAUACACGCCCUUCGAAAAGGGGAAAGCGGGGGACCUUCGGGCCUCGCACUAUUAGAGCGGCCGAUAUCGGAUUAGCUAGUUGGUGGGGGUAACGGCUCACCAAGGCGACGAUCCAUGUGGUUUGAAGAGGACGACCAGCCACACUGGGACUGAGACACGGCCCAGACUCCUACGGGAGGCAGCAGUGGGGAAUUUUGGACAAUGGGGGAAACCCUGAUCCAGCCAUCCCGCGUGUGCGAUGAAGGCCUUCAGGUUGUAAAGCACUUUUGGCAGGAAAAGAAGCUGCAGGAUGUACCCGUGCAGCUGACGACACCUGCAGAAUAAGCACCGGCUAACUACGUGCCAGCAGCCGCGGUAAUACGUAGGGUGCAAGCGUUAAUCGGAAUUACUGGGCAUAAAGCGUGCGCAGGCGGUUCGGAAGAAAGAUGUGAAAUCCCAGAGCCCAACUUUGGAACUGCAUUUUAACUACCGAGCUAGAGUGUGUCAGAGGGAGGUGGAAUUCCGCGUGUAGCAGUGAAAUGCGUAGAUAUGCGGAGGAACACCGAUGGCGAAGGCAGCCUCCUGGGAUAACACUGACGCUCAUGCACAGCGUGGGGAGCAAACGGGAUUAGAUACCCUGGUAGUCCACGCCUAAACGAUGUCAACUAGCUGGUAGGGCCUUCGGGCCUUGGUAGCGCAGCUAACGCGUGAAGUUGACCGCCUGGGGAGUACGGUCGCAAGAUUAAAACUCAAAGGAAUUGACGGGGACCCGCACACAAGCGGUGGAUGAUGUGGAUUAAUUCGAUGCAACGCGAAAAACCUUACCUACCCUUGACAUGUGCAAGUCGAAGAGAUUUGGGAGUGCUCGCAAGAGAACCGGAACACAGGUGCUGCAUGGCUGUCGUCAGCUCGUGUCUCGUGAGAUGUUGGGUUAAGUCCCGCAACGAGCGCAACCCUUGUCAU